AACGAACGCUGGCGGCGCGUCUUAACCAUGCAAGUCGAGCGGCAGGCCGCAAUGCCGAGAGCGGCGGACUGGUGAGUAACACGUGGAUAACGUACCCCGAUGUCCGGGACAGCCUGUAGAAAUAGAGGGUAAUACCGGAUAGAUCACUGUUUACGUGAGGUAGACAGCGGGAAAGGAGCUUCGGCUCCGCGACGGGAUCGGUCUGCGGCCUAUCAGCUGGACGGCGGGGUAAAGGCCCGCCGUGGCGAGGACGGGUAUCCGGCCUGAGAGGGCGGACGGACACAUUGGGACUGAGAUACGGCCCAGACUCCUACGGGAGGCAGCAGGUAAGAAUAUUCCGCAAUGGGGGGAACCCUGACGGAGCGACGCCGCGUGAACGAAGAAGGCCGGAAGGUUGUAAAGUUCUUUUCUGUCCGAGGAAUAAGUUUCGGAGGAAAUGCCGGGACGGUGACGGUAGGGCAGGAAUAAGCACCGGCUAAUUACGUG
rnacentral:rRNA from 1 species